rnacentral:misc_RNA from 1 species
CAAGAAGAGACCCUAACCGGUCCUCUCAACCCUGCCAUCGUACCUUUUUUGUUGUUCCCAUCGGCGGUGCUCGCGGGCCCGCCGGCGGGAAGACCAAACAAACCCUUUGCAAACAAGCAUAUCGAUAUCUCUGAUCAAACAUGAAUUGUCACC